CACUCGCAAAGUGGAAGAAGGAGAAGGGGGGGAGAGAGAGAAAAUAGUGCCUGCGAGCUGAGGGGAGAGAAGGCAGCCGGGAGAGGAGACAGGAGGACGGGGAGAGGACACAGACCGGCACAGCGGGGAGAGGAGCCGCCAGCUGCGUCCUGGGAGAGAGUGGGGUCCCCGGUGCGCCCCGGCCAUCUGAGCGCACAGAAGGGAGCCGCAGCCAGUGUGUGCGUCCUGCAGCCGGCAGCAGCAGCAGCAGCACACAGAGCCCGGGCGGAGGGAUCUAUUGUUAUUUAUUGUGUGUGUGCGGCCGCCGCACUCGCUGCCCGGGAUCGCAUGUGUUGCAUUUACAGCGCAGGAAUAAUAAAUGCACAACACCCGCUGCCCCAUGCGCCGGGAGAGCGCUGCCGCCGCCACUGCGGGCUUCGGUUGUAAAUGAUGGAAGGGAAAAUAUAAUCAAACAUCAAGAUUUUGAAAUCAAGUCAAACAAACCUCAUCCAGCCUUUGCGGUGUCGCUGCCCUGAGUGCUCCAACUGCCAGAGGCUCUGUGAUGAUCAGAAGUUCUGAGAACUGCGAGGCACAAUGAGCAAGUUGUGGUGAUGCCCCUUAGUAAAGCUGCCUUAAUCUGUAUGAAUUCCCGUGGCUUAUGAAAGGACAGUCCUCUGCUAUCAAUGGUGAUGAGUCCAUGAUCCUGAAACAUUUCUGAGUGGGAUUACACACACAUGUGCAGAGCAUUAUACAGCUGUCUCUUCCUAUGAAUGGGGUAUAGAGAUUUGACCUUUUUGGUUGGCUGCGAGUGAAGACUGAUUUGCAUAGCCAGCUACUUAUAUGAGUGUUGAUGCUGAUGGACUCCUCCUGCUACUGGUCAUGGUAACGGACUGUCGUGGAUAGCAUGGUGCUGUGAUCGCAGAAGAAGCAGCCAUUAAACAGACCAAAGGGGUUUCCUGCGUCUUGAAAACCAAAGCU